rnacentral:lncRNA from 13 species
AUGGCUGUCUGCCCGCAGCUUAGCUGUAGGGUAUGGCUGUCUGCCCGCAGCUCCAGCUGCAGGGUAUGGCUGUCUGCCUGCAGCUCCAGCUGUAGGGUAUGGCUGUCUGCCCGCAGCUCCAGCUGUAGGGUAUGGCUGUCUGCAGCUCCAGCUGCAGGGUAUGUCUGUCUGCAGCUCCAGCUGCAGGGGUAUGGGCUCUGGACAUCUUUCCAUGACUUCAGAGGUGUUCCACGAGGAGUGAACGACUUCUUCAGAGAAACCGGUCUCUCCUACAAACAGUUUAUAGUGCAGGAAAAAUGUAUAAAUGGCAGAGCUCCAAAUUCUCCACAUCUGAUUCAUGAUUUCUUGCAAUUGAUGUUUGCAUUUUACACUAAGUCUUCAUCUAUGCAAAUCACAUUUAUGCUACAGAGUUUGCAAAACACAACAUGUGGAACUGGACACACACAGACCGUACCUUUGUUAGAGCUCCCAGGUCCAGGUUUGACUUGAGCUUCAUGUCAAAGUACUGGGCCGAGGCUUGGAGGGACUCCCUUUCCUUGGCUGUCAGAGUCAGUUUGGGGGCAGCCACCGGCAUGCUCUUACAGUUCAGCUGAGUGCCCCAGCAACCUGAGUCCUUCAAAGAGAAAACAUAUUAAAAUGGGAAAUCUGCUCAAAGCAGUCAAUGGGUCAAUACAUCAUUAUUUGAAAAAUCCCAAAAUGUAUGUACCAAUCUCAAAUUGCACCUUUAAGUACAGUCAAUAAAUUAUAACUGGAGUUAAGGAGAUUUAUAACAAUAUAAUUAUACUGAACCGAAUGUAACCUACCUUUUCUCUCUGGCAACAGGGACGGCUGCCGCUAUCUACAGACAAAACCUGAUUGAGUCUGUGAGGUAGGUGUUGGGUCUGUGUGCCCAUUUAUUUGCUUGCUUGAGCGUUCGAUAUUCUUUGUGGAGCUCUGUGAAACACACGCAGAAACACAAAAUUCAAAGCAACAUAUUUCAGUAACUGACAUGAAUUAUAGGAGGAUACCUGGGUCCUAUUCAGUAGAAGCAAACGGACCAAAACGGAGAGACCUAGCUGAAUGUCCAAUAAGAAACACUUGUUUUUGUUUAUCUGUUGCUAAACGUUUUCCUACAGUGUUCCUUAACGAAUACAAGCCUAAGGACAGCAAUGUACUGAUCCUGUGUUUGAGUUAUGUUAAUGCUUCUGGGGCUCCGUUAAUAUCACCCUGAAUAAUAGAACAAGUCAGAGUGGGAAAGACAAUAUGUUAGUUACCGUAGUCUCCGAGUAAUGCAUGAUACAAAAAUUGAAUAGAUAACUAGCUACAUAGGAGCCAUCACUUCCACAGAUAUUAUCGACCUUGUAGGAAUCAGUUUGCUAAGAUGAUGAAUAAUUAAUAUUAUAGCCGGUAGCAAUUUGUUGUAAAUAUGAUAUGUUAGACUAGAGUUCAGAGUUUGUGCAAGUGUGAAAGUGAACGGUAACGUUAUCUAUAUAAAUAUAUAAGUCAGUGAUUUCAGCAGUAUCCAAACAGCUGGCUCUCAUGGCAGUUAUACUCCAAAUCAUUGUUAGCAUUCAUUAUAAACGUAGUAGCUACCUAACGUUUCAAACAAGAGCCACAUGAGAAUGUAAACAACGUCAAAUCAGAGAGCAGACACAUCUAGCCUUAGCCAUCUGGCUCUCUGAGCUAAAGCUACAAGAGUGGGUUAAAAAAGUCCCAAAAGGCCGUCAUCUCAAACGAAAUAAGUCUGACGUUUCUUACCUGACUGCGGGCAAUAAUAAAUCACACCAGGAAAAUGACAUAGCUAACUAUUGUACCGAGCAGUUAUUUCCACAAUUUUAGCGCGCUGUAAAAGUGACGUCCACCUAUCUACCAAUGGAAGGCUGCUGAGGAAGUAAAAACCAAUCA